rnacentral:lncRNA from 1 species
AUGAAAGUUCACAUGUCUAAUCUCUCUCCUUGCAGGAAUUUGGCCGACUCAGCCUCAAUAUGUAGCCCAGAGCUGUAUGUGGGGAGGUGUUCAGAGUUUUUGUUGAAUGAACAUAUGCAUCUAUUUUUUACAUCCUACUGCACCCCUGAGCAGAGAGCUUCCCCUCAAGCCCCUCAGCUCCGACUUCCCAGCCUGACAACUGUUCAGGGGAGCUCUUGCGAUGCUGCACAGGGGGCGACCAGAUUCUCAGGGCCCAAAACAGCUGCCAGGCAAGCCUCUCUCUGUUGGCUCUUCUCCGAGCUCCUGGACACUGGCAGGAUCCUUAUGAUCAUCAUCUCAGACAGAAGAACAAGUGAGUUUUUGUUUUUAUUGCCUAUUAUUGUUCAUGUCGCUUAGGGCUGAGAUUGAGUUUUUAAAUCACAGUAGAUGCCUUUGAAGAAGCUUAGGACCAAAAGACAGACUUUCCCCCAAGGCCUAUAACCAGCUAGUGGCAGAGUUUGUAUUCAUUCCUGUCUCUACCACACCACCCUUUAUUUCUGUCUCUCUAUAGUGUCUACAUACUAGUUGCUCAACAAAUUGUUAACUGGUUUAAUCUGAUGCAGUUAAGUGAAUCAUCAUAUGAGUUAAUCUUGUCACAGCAUUCGGCUCUGCUGCAAAGCUCCUGCCCAGGGAGUAACUCCACUCAGACACGAGCCCCCUCAUCCCUCUUCUGAAGGCCGGCUGGAGCUGUGAGGAAGCCCAGGCUGCCAUCCCUACAUCCUUGAGACCAAGGGGCGGUGCAGCAGAGGAGAACCAUCCCCCCUGACCGUCUGUCCAACCUCUCUGGGUUCUG